rnacentral:rRNA from 1 species
CUGCCAGUAGUCAUAUGCUUCGUUCAAGGGCUAAGCCAUGCAUGCCUCAGUGCACAUGGAUUGACAGUAGGUCUGUGAAUGGCUCCUUACAUCAGCAGUCAUCUCCGUGAUAGAGUGUGGAUGAUGCCAGAUUUCCCAGGCGUCCAAUGGACAUCCUCCAAAACCUGGUGGCUAAUACACAGAAGGAACAGUCAGCUGCAUCACAUGGCCUUUGAUAAUGCCCAUCCCUGCUGUGAGAGGGCCAGCAGUGGAUUGCAACCAGCCGUCAGGAAGACUGGCGCCUGGUAAAAGGCAGUGUGCUCUGUGGUUGACUCAGGCUGAUCCCCGAGGGGACACCUGCACUGGCAGCAUUCGAACUGUGGGUGUGAAAACCCACACAGAAGCUACGGCUUGAUCACACGAACUUCUGACCUAUCAGCCUCGACUGUGGUGUAGUGGACCACAAUGGCUAUAACGGGUAACGGAGAAUCUGGGUUCGAUUCCGGAGAGGGAGCCUGAGAGACGGCUACCACUACCAAGGUGGGCAGCAGGCACGCAAAUUGCCCCAUACAAACACAGCUUGUGAGGCAGCAACGAACCGCAACAAUUCUUCGGGCAUUCUCUGCUUGUGGAAUCUGUAAUGGAUGCUAUCCAAACACAGUGAUGAGUACCAACUGGAGGGCAAGUCUGGUGCCAGCAGCUGCGGUAAUUCCAGCUCCAAGGGUGUAUACUAACAUUGCUGCUGUUAAAACACUUGUAGUUUGCCCCUGGGUGCAGGUCUGCCAGGCGGCCAAGGCGUUGCUGGCCUCUCAACAGCUUUCACAGCUGGGCUGGUGGCGAAUUGGGACACAACCCCUGGCAGUAUGACCCUGUGCCCAAUCAAUCCAAUGAUGGUGAGUCCUGCUCCUGCGAAAGUCCCCUUCAGUGGGUGACCCAACCAGCCACACACCCAGUGCUUGUCAAGGCGUCCAGGGACACAGUCCCACAGUGCUGUGCAAUCUCCCCAGUCUGCUACCGGAGUCCACCAUCGAAGCCACCAUGGAAAACUCAGUGUGCUCAAGGCAUCCAGCUGGCAGGAUGCCCGUCCGUGGAAAGUCAAAGCAACGCCCAGAUGCGGCGAAGGAGUUGUGCCAGCCUUGGAGCUCAUACAGGAUAAACGAUGCUGUUGACCUGGCAGGGGUCACGUUGUCUAGUCAUCCCCUGGACACUCCCUGUCAGGCGGCAGUUCAUCACCGGAGACGAUGGGACCAUACAAGGUGGAAGAUAUUGCAACGCCAGAGGUGAAAUUCUUAGACCGUUGUAAGAUCUACAGCGGCGAUGGCGUUCUGCAUGACUGUGUUCGUCAAUCAAGAAUGAGAGCCUGGGGAGCAAAGGUGAUUAGACACCUCCGUAGUCCAGAGCUGUAAACCAUGCCGGCAGGGUGAUGAUGGGGCAAUCAUAGGACCCCACCGCCACCAACUCCCCUACAACGAGAAAUCCAAGCCUUUGGGUUCAGGGGGGAGUACUGCUGCAAGGCUGAAACUUAAAGGAAUUGACGGAAUGGCACCACAAGGCGUGGAGUAUGCGGCUUAAUUUGACUCAACACGGGGAACGUUACCAGGUCAGGACGUUGCUGGGAUGGACAGAUUGAGAGCUCUUUCUUGAUUCCUCGGAUGGUGGUGCAUGGCCACUCCUGAUUGGUGGAGUGAUUUGUCUGGUUGAUUCCGAUAACGAGUGAGACAUCUACCUCCCACUAGCCCCAGUCUCGAAUCUGUAGGGCAAGGAUUGUGGCCCCUCCACGGAGCUCCCUGCCUCCGGUGGGCAAAAACCCACUGGUCUGGGUUCCCUCUGUGUGAUGCCUCUGAUCUCCCGAGAGUGCUGGGUCCCAAAGCUUCUCUGAGGUGCUGAGCAUAAUCCCAACAGUGCUUGCAUGCGAGAUACAACAGUAGGUCUGUGAUGCUCCCAGAUGUCCUGGGCCGCACGCGCACUACAUUGAUACAGUGAAGGUGUUACCUCUCACAUUAGAUUGAGGCCUGCCCCGAAGUGGGUGAGAAACCAUACAAGCCUGGCUAUUGUCCUGGGGAUAGAUGAUUGCAACUGUCUGCCUUGAACGAGGAAUGCCUUGUAAGAGUGUGUCAUCAGCACACACUGAAUACGUCCCUGCCAUUUGUACACACCGCCCGUCGUUGCUACCGAUGACAACAGAAUAGAGCCAUCCGGAGGCGGCAUGCCCCAGAAUGCUGGUGUGAGCCAAAAUUGGGCAAUGUUAGGUUGUUAGAGGAAGCAAAAGUC